ensembl:lncRNA
CACACACGCUGGUCUGGGUUCAGAUCAGUUCUGUUCUCUGGUCUCCCGAGGCCCUUGGUUUAUGGGGUCCCCACGGAUGGAAGCUUUCCCCCCCUCAGCGGGUUUCCACUGAACCAGCAGCAGGAGUCCUGGAUGAUCCCCGGUUGUGCGGCCCCUCCCCCGCUCCUUCCCGACCUGCGCCGCAGCCAUCGCAGACUUUAGGGGAGGGAGAGACGUUCUCUCCCACCGUUCCAGCGCCUCCAAGGCUGACUUGAGAGCCACAGAACACGUCUCAUUUAUCUUCCUCUCUCCAGUACUAAUUUAGUGGUCAAUAGAACGGAUGUUCAUUGGGUGGAUUCUUCUUAACAAGCAAGUGGUGCAGUAUCACACCGAGAAGAUAUGCGGACUGAGCACAGCUUUUUGAUAACCUUUCAUCCAUCGAGAUUUUUCUUUCGAAAAGAAUCUCUUUAUUAUAAAACAGAUGCCACUUAACUUCUUUCAAGAAGGUUGGUCCUGACCUAACAUCUGCGCCAGUCUUCCUCUAUUGUGGGAUGCCAACACAACAUGGCUGGUUGAGCAGUACUAGGUCCGCACCCAGGAUCUGGGCCCACAAAUCACAGGCCGCCAUAGCAGAGCAUGUAAAAUCAACCACUCCACCACCAGGCCAGCCUCUGUAAUGGCAUGUUUUAAUAGCUAACAGUUGUGGUGGUAAUUUUUCCCCCAUCCCAGAUUUCUUUUCCUGUUUCACUACUUUUUUCCCUUAGGCAUUAGAAGACAGAAACUUGGGAAUACAAGGAGUAUCUAUCAAAGAAGGUGACUUUGGAGAUCACUGGGAAAGUAGGAACAUGCAUAUUUAAGGCCAUGGACUCAGAAAAUAGGCGCACAAUAGGGAAAGACAAGAAAUGAGAUUUAGCCAUAACUUUACACCUGUGUAUAUUUUUCAAGCACAUUUCUAAACACACAUAGCAGAACUUUUCAUAUUUCCAAGGGUUUAUAUGCAACCAAUUUUUCCCUGAUUCUGUUUAAGGUAAAAGAAAGACUGGAUUAGAUUCUUGUCCCAGUUCUCCCACCAGAUAGCUGUGUAAGUUUUGACAGGUAAUUAAACCUUCCUGACCCUCAGGUUACUUAGGCUCAAUUCAACCUGAUGAAUAUAAAUUGUCCUCACAUUAGGUUCCAGUCCUUGUGUUCAAUCCUGGGAGCCCGAAAUGAGAAUUAUCUCUACUUGUGUUACUGCAACUCUCAAUUCCAGUCUCACCCAACUCAAUAAUUUCUGAAUUGUCCACACUGCUCCAAAGUGACCUCUUUAUAAUGGAUAUCUUCUCAAAGGUUUUUAAAUGCUUCAAUAACACCUUGUGGCCCUCAAUAAAAGUCUUUAAUGCCCUAGAAAUGUAUACUUGACCCUUUAUGGUCAAUCCCUCUUUGCCUUUCUUUAUUCAUUUUUCAGCUCUACUCACUAAGCCUCAUCUGUAAUAAUCCACAUGCUGACUCUGCAAUACUCUCUCUGUUUUCUUUUUCCCUUUGUAGUAUGUGUAUUUCUUUCCACCUAAAACAACACCCUUUCUUCUGUUUAACGCUAACGUCUGUUAAUCCUUCGUAUCUCAGUUCGUAAGUCUCUCUUCCUUCAGACGUAAGCCUCCUCUGAUCUGCCUACAUAUUGUGGAACUUAUCAAGCAGUGUUGUAAAUCUCUUUAUGGAUCAGCUCACCAACUGUAUUAGAGAUCA